GUUUGUCUCUCAUUGCAAGGGGCUCAUACACAUCACAUUCCAGCAAUAUCUACACACACCAGCCAGCAAACAGUCACCCUUUGGCUCGCUAACCUGGGCCUAGGAAUGAGCACCAGGACAGAUGUCUGGAGGCUGGACUUGGGGAAGAAGCCCAGGAAAUCCCUGGAAGCUGGCAUGGAGCUGAUGGUCAGAGUAUUCAGAACACCUGGGAUUCAGUAGGCCCCUAGAGUCUGGCCUAGAAAAAGGGAGUGGGAGCUACAAAUGGUGACAUCCUUUUUGCUCCAUGGAUUCCUUACUCCACAAGAGAGAUGCAGCUGGAGGGCACCAGAGAAGGACCAAUUAAAGCUGUGCUGUCCAAUAUGGUAGCCAGUUGCCACAGGAGGCCAUGGAGUACUUCAGACAAGGCUGUCCAAUAGAAAUGGGCUAGAUGCUCUAAAAGUGUGAAUCCGAGGGCAGGGGCUUCAGUUGUUCAGCCCUAAGGUUGACAAAGGUGGCCAGUCCCAGAACUAGAGAAGAGAAGACUGGGUUGAAAACAAGAGCUGUCAUGUGAAUAAGACUAAACCAGCUUGCUGAAGGAUG